UCCGUGUUAACCACGGCAGUCUCCUUAGAGAGCCCAACUGAAUGCUGGCAACUAAGGACAAGGGUUGCGCUCGUUGCGGGACUUAACCCAACAUGUCACCACACGAGCUGACGACAGCCAUGCAGCACCUGUCUUCCUGCGGUAUUGCUACCGAGACCGUAUCUCUACGGCUGUCAGGAGAUGUCAAAUCCAGGUAAGGUUCUUCGCGUUGCUUCGAAUUAAACCACAUCAUCCACCGCUUGUGCGGGCCCCCGUCAAUUCCUUUGAGUUUUAAUCUUGCGACCGUACUCCCCAGGCGGAUGA
rnacentral:misc_RNA from 1 species